UAUUGUGCUAGGUCUUUCCUUUUAAUUGAAGAAAAUACCCAGGUUAAAAUAAGGAGCAAAAUCCUUUCACCAGCCCUAAGUUAAUUGGCCAUGGGUAUGUGUGUACAAUAUUCAGGUGAUUCUCUUUGCCCAGGUGGAUGUCAUAAAUGCUCACCUGUGACCUGAUGGGUGCUAUAGCCUGGCAGGAUUUUAGAAGCUUCUUCAACACAAGCUCCAUGGCUGGAACAGUGAUUUGAAUUCUCGUUAUUCAAGGAAAAUUACCUUCUCUUGAUUUCCCGGCUGCAGUGCCCAUUUGAGUUGAUAACUGAACCAAGAUCCCCAGCAUCUGGAACAGUCACUGGCACUUGGGAGGCACUGUGAAUGAAUGAAUGAUAUGACAGUUAGGUUGUGUUGCAGUUGACUAGUUGACAUAAUGUGAAGUUUCAUAGGCUUUUAUAUGUUUAUUGAUUACAAUUUUAUUUUCAUAUUUGAAAAUCAUUAAAUUUUUACCUUUCAGACAUUUUCAUUAGCCCUUGGAAAGUUCAUGGGCCCGAGGUUCAGUGCUUCUAGUAUCUAGUGAGUAGGAAACAGAGCGCAGAGAACACUUAGGUUGUUUCUAUGUCUAUUUUUUUACACUUACGUAGCACAAAUAUUUAUUAAGACAUAAAAUAGUGUAAUCAUCCAGAAAGUUUCCUUAUUCCCUUUUCCAGUCAAUUUUUUUUAAUUUAAUUUAAAAUUUUUCAUCACCAUUUAUCCUCUGCACUCUGUUUCCUCUCUCUUUUGUGCUGUUCCAAGUCCCAGAACAUUACUUUAAUCUCCUAAAUCAAGUCAGUGGAGAAAACAGUUCUUUCCCCACCCCCCCAUUCAGGUUUACUGAAGGAAAUCAGUUAUGUAUUCUUCGUCUUCCCACUUACCCUCUUCCUUUCCAUGAGGGGGUAUUGUGGGCUGAAUUGUGCUACUCAUAAAUUCACAUCUUAAAAUCCUAAUCCCCAGAAACUCAGAAAGUGACUGUAUUUGGAGGUAGGUCUUCAAAGAGGUAAUUAAGCUUAAAUAAGGUCAUUAGUGUCACUCCUCAUCCAAUAUGACAAGGUGUCCUUAUCAGAAGAGGAAGUUUGGAGCACACACACAGAAGACCAUGUGAAGAACAUGCAAAAGAGAUGCCCUAAGAAGGAACCGACCAGGCUGACAUCUUGAUCUUGGACUU